UUAUUACUUGCUGCCUGCACAGCAGAUGAACUCACAGAUUAUGAACUACACUGGCAAACUCUUGGGGAAUUGGGUGUGGUUGUUUUCAGAUUUGUAUUAUGCAUCAUUAAAAAAAAUAAAAAAUCCAUGUCAGUUGUUCCCAUGAACUGUCUAAAGCAGUUGUUAUACAGGUGACAUCACCCACAGGUUUCGUCGUUGUCCUUUGGUUGCUUAACAAAACAAACUGUAAAGAAAGGAAAUCACGUUACAUGUGAAAAGAUUCAAUAAACAAAAAAAAAACGGAUUAAACUUGGUAUUUACUGUAUAAUGUAAACUUUGGUACAGUUGACUGAUCACAAAGAUAUGAAUGAUUCCACACUGACUGUUGUGUUGACAGACGUCUGUACCUCCUCAAGGUGUGGCCAGAAACAGAAAGUAUUUUUCUACACACCGCUGACAAAUGAAACGCUAAUCAUUUUUCAGUUUCGUGGUUCAUUAAACGUGUAAAUCAACUCGGUGACUUUUCUUCAUCCUGUAAAGAAAAAAAAAAAUGAAGUUUUUGUUCCUGUUUGUCCUCUCCGGACUGUUUGUGAACGCCGCUGCAGGAGAGUCUGAAACAAUUUGUGUAUCAGUUGGGGAAGACGUCAUUCUGCCGUGCAACCUGACACGUCUAUUCGACAUGUCGACUCUAAGAGUGGAGUGGAGCCACGAUGAAAACGAUGUCCACGUCUAUCGAAAAGGGGAGGAUCUGAAAGAUCAGGACAAGAACUUCAAAGACAGAACGUCUCUGUUCCGUGAAGAAAUGAGCAGUGGAAACAUUUCACUGAAACUGACCAAAGUAACUAAACGGGAUGAAGGAAAAUACAACUGCAAUGUUAGGCCCGAAAACACUGAACAAUUCACUGCAUGCUCCAUUACUCUCGAGGCAGUGCUGCGGUCAGAAGACAGUGGUAGACAUGUUAAGGACACUGGAAGCAGUACUGGUGCUAUUGUUGGAGUUUCUUUCAGCAUUGUUGUUGGGACCGGUCUUAGAAUCAUUCUACUGAUAAAUUAGAGAAAGAUCAGGAUGUGUGCAGUCGAAGUGGACUACAGAAAAACAAGUACAACGCUGCCAGAAUGACCCAGAACCAAGUGAGAAACAACGACGACCCAGACUGAUGACGGAGCUGAGCGUAAAAUUAAACUAUAACUUUCUAUACCACAGAUUUGGACAGUCACUUGGAAAAUCACACUGAAAGACAUUAUGUUGCAUCACCCACAACACAACUGGUUGUAGACAAUGGCCACACAUGGCAUCCCGGCUGUGGAGGACCGAGGCUUUGUUGUGCCUCAUGUCGAAUCCGGCACCAGUAGUGGACAGUGAAGACGGUUUCGCCUUGUUGCCACCCCUGGCUGCAGAUGUUCUCCUGUGCCAUCACGCUAUUAAAGGUUCCUUUGCCUUCCAUCUGCCAGAAAAGAUGAGAAAAAUCUGUUGAACAGUGAACAGGCCACUAAAACCAAAUGACCUGGUGUUAAACUGGAUCAUUUUUGUCUUGGACUGAUCAGAUUGAUGGCAAAGGAUCAAUCAGUCACUAUUAAAUGUUCUGCAUGUGUUCCACUCUCUCUUAUGAAUGAUCCCGUCACUGGUUCUGUCAUUCCUGAAUCUGCCCGUCCUCUGGUCAAGUGUUGCUGGAACAAUCUUUGGAGCUGUAUGUUGGUGACCAUGUCUUUGUUUCUACAGGUCUCAUUAUUCCCUGUGUAGAGUCGUCUCACUUGUUUCCAGUUUCUUGCCUUUAUUGAUACUUAACACCCACUUUUUAUUCUUUUAGAUGAAGCUAU